GCAUAACGCGAAGAACCUUACCUAGGCUUGACAUGCAUCUCUAAGCGCGUGAAAGCGCGUGACCCUUCGGGGGAUUUGCACAGGUGCUGCAUGGCCGUCGUCAGCUCGUGUCGUGAGAUGUUGGGUUAAGUCCCGCAACGAGCGCAACCCUUGCGAUUAGUUGCCAGCACGUCAUGGUGGGAACUCUAAUCAGACUGCCCAGAUCAACUGGGAGGAAGGUGGGGACGACGUCAGGUCAGUAUGGCCCUUACGCCUAGGGCUGCACACGUACUACAAUGCCCAGUACAAUGAGAACCGGGACCGCGAGGUGGAGGAAAUCUAAAAAACUGGGCCCAGUUCGGAUUGGAGGCUGCAACUCGCCUCCAUGAAGCCGGAAUCGCUAGUAAUGGCACAUCAGCUACGGUGCCGUGAAUACGUUCCCGGGUCUUGUACACACCG
rnacentral:rRNA from 1 species